rnacentral:lncRNA from 1 species
AAAAUGUUUUUACUUGCAAUUUCCCUUGGGUAAAGUACUAACCUGGGUCAAAAAGCAACAUUUUCAGAACAAAGAAAGGCCUGAUAUUCUAGGCUGCUGGUUAAAGGCAAAGUAAGUCUCAGAAAGUAGGGGAAAGAGCAGGGAGACACAGGUUCAGAAGGGUGUUGGAUUUACUGAAAGGCAAAGAACAGGGGUGUGUAUGGCUCCCCCCUUGUAAAGAAAGGGAACCAGUAUCAGCCCAGACUCAGGACACAGCGCCUCCCUUUCAAGGAAGGGAAAAUAACAACAGCCUAGACCUAGGCCGCAGAAGAGAUAGAAACUAACGGGUUUUGCAGGCCACCACUGUCUCUCCCAUUCCUGCUUGAGCAUCAAGAAGAAGCUCAGAAAUACCCAAGCCAAUCANCGCCCACCCUGUUCGCGUCUCCAAAGUUGUGAAGGUGAGUCUGGGACUGCCUGGCCGGGAGAAGGUGGCGAAAUGAAUGUCUCUCUGGCCACAGACACAGACAGACAGACAGCAAGACCUUGAGGUGCCUGGGGCUCGUGGCUUCUGCCUGCUCCACGACAAAUACGUAAGCACAGCUUGGAGGAGGAAGCAGCUUCUGGGCUGAGGGCCUCCAUCUGGGAGUGUCUACCACAUGCCCGGGUGCACUUUGUGACCCGUCUCUGUCGCGCCCACUUCAGAGACAGGACUAGGGCAGCCAGCUCUUGCCUCAGUCUGCUCACCAGUGACCGGGCUGGGAAUCACCAUUUCUGCACAGCCCUGAGCUGGUGAGGAGCGUAAGCUGGGAAGGCAGACAGCCCCUACCGGCUGUGAAAUCCUGGCAACUCACUUACUUAUCCUCCCUGUGUCCCAGUUUCCUCACCCAUAAGUCCCAGUACCUUCUAGGGCUCGCAGAUCAAGUGAAAUAAGGCGUGUCACCCACCCUGCAUGGGCCAGUCAGUGUGCAUACCCACUCGUGAUAUGGCAUCAAAAGAGACAGGGAGGACAGAACACAGGCCCUGGGAAAAGGCAACCAGGCUGUGAACCGCAUCUCUGCCCCCUACUAGCUGUGUGAGGGGGCUGACACAUCAUCUCUCUCAGCGUCUGUUUCCUUCUCUGGAUAUGGGAGCAGCUAUUAGGAGCAGCGGCGUCCCAGGGUCCUUGUGCACAUUCGAGGAGUUGAGACUGGGAAGGCCUUCAGGACAGGGGCGAGCACUCCAGACUCUUAGCGACUGUGCUCAGCAUUUUGCUCAGGGAGGCUCUGCUCAACAAUCGAUGUCUGUUCUCUUUCUCAUCACCUGCCUUAGGGUGGCUCCUCGGGCAAAGGCACGACCCUCAGGGGCCGAUCAGAUGCUGACCUCGUCGUCUUCCUCACCAAGCUCACAAGUUUUGAGGAUCAGCUUCGGCGCCGAGGAGAAUUCAUCCAGGAAAUUCGGAGACAGCUGGAAGCCUGUCAAAGAGAACAAAAGUUUAAAGUGACGUUUGAGAGUUGAGUCUGAAGAAAGACCAGAUGUCUGGAUUGCCUGAUGAAGGCACAAAGUCU